AUGUUACUACAAACCAAAAUCAUGUACAUGAAGAAAAUAGAUGGCCUCAACUCUAAACAGAAUAUCAGAGAAAAUAUUGCUAACCCAAGAAAGACACCAAACCAUCCAAAACUAAUCAGCAUCAUGAAACCAACCAAACACGUCAAAACCAGGCCCUCCAGUUGUUUAAGUCAAACAAUUAAUCAAAAAAUAUCCAUCGCCUACACAAUCAGUUCACAAUAA